AAGCUGCGAUAAGUAAUGCGAAUUGCAGAACUCAGCGAGUCAUCGAGUCUUCGAACGCACAUUGCGCCCCCUGGCAUCCCGGGGGGCACGCCUGUCCGAGCGUCGUCGACAUCCCCUCAGGGCGCCCCAUCGCUGGGUGCCCUGGCCUUGGGCCCCGCCCCCGUGCGGGCGGGCCCGCAACCCCUGACCGGUCCUCCCCGGAGCCCCGAGCGCAGCGGCAUCCCCCAUGCUCGUGGAGGCCCCCGGGUUCGAAGGAGCGGUGUCCCUCGUCGUAGCGUUGACCUCGGAUCAGGCGGGGCUACCCGCUGAACUUAAGC
rnacentral:misc_RNA from 1 species